rnacentral:lncRNA from 1 species
UGGGGACAGUGUGGUGCUCUGGAAUCCCUGGAGACCAGGAGCAUGAAUGCAGUUAGAAAUCACAUGAUACAGAAGGCUGAGGUCUCAGCUCUACCACCAAACCCUGCAGAAGCCGUGGGAUCAGCUGGAGAGCCUCUGCAUGCUUGGUGGAUUGACCAUAGGUUAUGAAUACCACUGCCAGGCAACUCCGAGCUGCCUAGGGGAGCAAGGACAUAAUUUGCCCUCAGAGUGUUAUUAUGGAAGUUUGUGUUCACUGAGCUUUUUAUACCCGCCUCACAAGAAGAAAGACCAAAGGGAAAAACUCAGCAUGGAGAGUGAGAAAGAACAACGUGAAGAAAGAAGAAAAACACCCGAGCAGGCUCAGAGGGACCAGAGACUGUACGAGAGCACCGUCACGUCAGACAACAUUGCACUGCUGCGUGGUCAGAGGUGCCGUGUGGCCCUGUGA